rnacentral:rRNA from 1 species
AUGGGGAGAAUCACACCAAAUCUUAUUUGGUGUCAGAUAUGGAAGUUAUCCUGCCCAACAAAAGUAAAAAGAAUUAUAUGGUGUACAUUACAUGGUACUCUCCCAUGCCGGGUAACACUCGCUAAUAGACACAUGAAGGUCUCGCCCUCUUGCCCGACUUGCUCUCGGGGUUUAGAAGAUAUGAAACACAUGAUUUUCCUCUGUAGUAAAGCAAAGGAGGUUUAGAAGAGACUAAGGAUGGAUGUGAUUAUUGAUAAAGCUUGUGAGGUUGACCUUGCCGGGGAGGCAAUAUUGGAAUACCUUCUACUUCUUCCAGACCAAGACUUGAGUAUUAUGGGGUACCAAAAUGUACGUGAAAUGAUUGCUAUUUCAGCAUGGUACCUAUGAUGGGAAAGAAGAAAGUUAGUGCAUAAGGAAUUAACCCAGAAUGCAAAUCAGAUAGUAAUGGGGAUCAUAGCUCUCACAUCCAACUUUGUAAAUGCAUCAUCUCCAAAGGCGGCGAUGAAAAAGGGGGGCUGGUACUGUCCCCCUAGGGGUUUUGUGAAACUUAAUGUUGAUGCCUCGUUUAAUCAUGAUAUGUUGAAGGGUACGAUGAGGGCAGUCUUAAGAGACCAUAAAGGUAGGUUCAUUGCAGGAGGAAAUGGAAAGAUUGACUAUUGUGCGGAUGUUUUGAUGGCUGAAGGUUUAGCUCUCAAGUUUGGCCUAACAAUAGCGCAAAGGGCGGGAUGUAACCGUCUAAUCAUCAACUCAGACAACAUGGAGGUGGUUGAGACCAUGCAUGAAGGAGGACAAUCAACGGGGGCGGCGGCGACAGUUUUCGAAGACUGUUGUCACUAUGCUUGUGAUUUUGUCACGACUAGAUUCGAACAUUGUAAUAGAGAGGCAAAUAAAGUACCUCAUGAACUUGCUAGAUUAGCUAGAUUUUCUUCGACUUUCGACUGGUUCGAGGAACCUUCAAAUGAAAUAAUAAUGAUCCUUACAAACGAUGUACUGGUUAUUUCAAAUGAAUAA